rnacentral:rRNA from 1 species
CCUACGGGGGACAGCAGUGGGGAAUAUUGCACAAUGGGGGAAACCCUGAUGCAGCGACGCCGCGUGAGUGAAGAAGGAUUUCGGUAUGUAAAGCCCUAUCAGCAGGGAAGAAGAAAGACGGUACCUGACUAAGAAGCCCCGGCUAACUACGUGCCAGCAGCCUCGGUAAUACGUAGGGGGCAAGCGUUAUCCGGAUUUACUGGGUGUAAAGGGAGCGUAGACGGGUGUGCAAGUCUGAAGUGAAAGCCCAGGGCUAAACCCUGGUAGUGCUGUGGAAACUGUGGGUCUAGAGUGCGGGAGAGGUAAGUGGAAUUCCUGGUGUAGCGGUGAAAUGCGUAGAUAUCAGGAGGAACACCAGUGGCGAAGGCGGCAUACUGGACAGUAACUGACGUUGAGGCUCGAAAGCGUGGGGAGCAAACAGGAGUAGAUACCCCUGUAGUC